rnacentral:ribozyme from 1 species
UGCCCAGCAACUCCUAUCCCUACCUCCUCGUGGUACUGGCCGGGGUACUUUGGUCGUAUGCUGACAGGGAAAG